rnacentral:rRNA from 1 species
GACGAACGCUGGCGGCGUGCUUAACACAUGCAAGUCGAACGGAAAGGCCCUGCUUUUGUGGGGUGCUCGAGUGGCGAACGGGUGAGUAACACGUGAGUAACCUGCCCUUGACUUUGGGAUAACUUCAGGAAACUGGGGCUAAUACCGGAUAGGAGCUCCUGCUGCAUGGUGGGGGUUGGAAAGUUUCGGCGGUUGGGGAUGGACUCGCGGCUUAUCAGCUUGUUGGUGGGGUAGUGGCUUACCAAGGCUUUGACGGGUAGCCGGCCUGGGAGGGUGACCGGCCACAUUGGGACUGAGAUACGGCCCAGAGUCCUACGGGAGGCAGCAGUGGGGAAUAUUGCACAAUGGGCGGAAGCCUGAUGCAGCAACGCCGCGUGCGGGAUGACGGCCUUCGGGUUGUAAACCGCUUUCGCCUGUGACGAAGCGUGAGUGACGGUAAUGGGUAAAGAAGCACCGGCUAACUACGUG